CCUGGGCGCAGUGGUGCAUGCCUGUAGUCCCAGCUACUCAGGAGGCUGAGGUGGGAGGAUCGCUUGAGCCCAGGAGUUCUGGGCUGUAGUGCGCUAUGCCAAUCAUGUGUCCACAUUAAGUUCAGCAUCAAUAUGGUGACCUCCCCGGAGCGGGGGACCACCAGGUUGCCUAAGGAGGGGUGAACCGGCCCAAGUCAGAAAUGGGGCAGGUCAAAACUCUGGUGCUGAUCAGUAGUGGGAUUGCACCUGUGAAUAGCCACUGCACUCCAGCCUGGGCAACAUAGCAAGACACCGUCUCA
rnacentral:SRP_RNA from 1 species